rnacentral:rRNA from 1 species
CUUCUGCGCGGAAGAUGUAACGGGGCUAAGCUGUUAACCGAAGCCGCGGAUGCGCUGGUUAUCCAGUGCGUGGUAGGGGAGCGUUCUGUAAGUCUGCGAAGGCGGUUCGAGAGGACUGCUGGAGAUAUCAGAAGUGCGAAUGCUGACAUGAGUAACGUUAAAGCAGGUGAAAAGCCUGCUCGCCGUAAGCCCAAGGAUUCCUGCUCUACGUUCAUCGGAGCAGGGUGAGUCGGCUCCUAAGGUCAGGCCGAAAGGCGUAGCCGAUGGGAAUCAGGUUAAUAUUCCUGAACCUGCGUCAGAUGCGAUGGGGGGACGGAGCAUGAAAGAUCAUCCGGGUGUUGGAUGUCCCGGUUGACGAGCGUAGGAGGUCUGCAGGCAAAUCCGCAGACGCAUCUCCAAGGCAAAGACACGUGCCGCCACGGCGGCGAAGUGAUCGGAAGUGCUUCCAAGAAAAGCCUCUAAGCCCCAGUCUGACGCGGACCGUACCGCAAACCGACACUGGUGGGCGAGCUGAAUAUGCUCAGGCGCUUGAGAGAACUCGGGAGAAGGAACUCGGCAAAUUGACACCGUAACUUCGGAAGAAGGUGUGCCGUAGUACCGUGAGAGGAGAGACACCUUGAGCGGGAAACGGUCUCAGAGAAUAGGUGGCUGCGACUGUUUAUUAAAAACACAGCACUCUGCAAAGUCGAAAGACGACGUAUAGGGUGUGAUGCCUGCCCGGUGCUGGAAGAUUAAUUGAUGGGGUGAGAGCCCUUGAUCGAAGUCCCAGUAAACGGCGGCCGUAACUAUAACGGUCCUAAGGUAGCGAAAUUCCUUGUCGGGUAAGUUCCGACCUGCACGAAUGGCAUAACGAUGGCCACACUGUCUCCUCCCGAGACUCAGUGAAGUUGAAAUGUUUGUGAUGAUGCAAUCUACCCGCGGCUAGACGGGAAGACCCCAUGAACCUUUACUGCAGCUUUGCAUUGAACUGUGAACCGAUUUGUGUAGGAUAGGUGGGAGGCAGAGAAGAGGCCACGCCAGUGGUCUUGGAGCCGACCUUGAAAUACCACCCUGAUUUGUUUGCGGUUCUAACCACGGACAGUGAUCCUGUCUUGGGACCGUGCAUGGUAGGCAGUUUGACUGGGGCGGUCUCCUCCUAAAGGGUAACGGAGGAGUACGAAGGUACGCUAGGUACGGUCGGAAAUCGUGCUGAUAGUGCAAUGGCAAAAGCGUGCUUGACUGCGAGAGCAACAACUCGAGCAGAUGCGAAAGCAGGUCAUAGUGAUCCGGUGGCUCUGAAUGGAAGGGCCAUCGCUCAACGGAUAAAAGGUACUCUGGGGAUAACAGGCUGAUACCGCCCAAGAGUUCAUAUCGACGGCGGUGUUUGGCACCUCGAUGUCGGCUCAUCUCAUCCUGGGGCUGUAGUCGGUCCCAAGGGUAUGGCUGUUCGCCAUUUAAAGAGGUACGUGAGCUGGGUUUAAAACGUCGUGAGACAGUUUGGUCCCUAUCUGCCGUGGGCGUUGGAAGAUUGACGGGGGCUGCUCCUAGUACGAGAGGACCGGAGUGGACGCACCUCUGGUGUACCGGUUGUCACGCCAGUGGCAUUGCCGGGUAGCUAAGUGCGGAAGAGAUAACCGCUGAAAGCAUCUAAGCGGGAAACUUGCCUGAAGAUGAGUCUUCCCGGAGGUUGAACCUCCCUCAAGAGUCGUCCGAGACCAGGACGUCGAUAGGUCAGGUGUGUAAGCGCUGUAAGGCGUUGAGCUAACUGAUACUAAUUGCUCGUGAGGCUUGAUC